rnacentral:rRNA from 1 species
GCGAAUGGCUCAUUAAAUCAGUUAUCGUUUAUUUGAUAGUACCUUACUACUUGGAUAACCGUGGUAAUUCUAGAGCUAAUACAUGCUGAAAACCCCAACUUCGGGAGGGGUGUAUAUAUUAGAUAAAAAACCAACGCCCUUCGGGGCUUCUUGGUGAUUCAUGAUAUCUUUACGGAUCGCAUGGCCUUGCGCCGGCGACGGUUCAUUCAAAUUUCUGCCCUAUCAACUUUCGAUGGUAAGGUAUUGGCUUACCAUGGUUUCAACGGGUAACGGGGAAUUAGGGUUCGAUUCCGGAGAGGGAGCCUGAGAAACGGCUACCACAUCCAAGGAAGGCAGCAGGCGCGCAAAUUACCCAAUCCCGACACGGGGAGGUAGUGACAAUAAAUACUGAUACAGGGCUCUUUUGGGUCUUGUAAUUGGAAUGAGUACAAUUUAAACCUCUUAACGAGGAACAAUUGGAGGGCAAGUCUGGUGCCAGCAGCCGCGGUAAUUCCAGCUCCAAUAGCGUAUAUUAAAGUUGUUGCAGUUAAAAAGCUCGUAGUUGAACCUUGGGUCUGGCUGGCAGGUCCGCCUCACCGCGUGUACUUGUCCGGCCGGGCCUUCCUUCUGGAGAACCUCAUGCCCUUCACUGGGCGUGUUGGGGACCAGGACUUUUACUUUGAAAAAAUUAGAGUGUUCAAAGCAGGCCUUUGCU